rnacentral:rRNA from 1 species
UACGUAGGGACCGAGCGUUGUCCGGAAUCAUUGGGCGUAAAGAGCGUGUAGGCGGCUUGCUAAGUCUUGCGUGAAAUCUCGGGGCUCAACCCCGAGCGGUCGUGGGAAACUGGCAGGCUAGAGUGCGGGAGAGGAGAAUGGAAUUCCUGGUGUAGCGGUGAAAUGCGCAGAUAUCAGGAAGAACACCCGUGGCGAAGGCGGUUCUCUGGAACGCAACUGACGCUGAGACGCGAAGCGUGGGGAGCAAACAGG